rnacentral:lncRNA from 1 species
GUUGUUUUUAUCUUGGUUAAUGCCUUUUCACUCCCAUUAACUGAGAAACUCCCCUUUCAGGAGUGCACAUCAGAAUUUGAAAAGCCGUAUUUGUAGAAGACAUCGAUGCGAAUUGUUUCUUGUUUUCUUCCUUCCCCCGCCCUCAGUAGCAUGUCAGUUCUAUGAGGAUAGAAUCCAUUUUAAGUCACCCUUACGUCCCUAAUACCUAGACAGUGUUUGGCACAGAGUUCGUGCUUAAUAAACAAUUAUUGAAGAAAGAAUUUAGAGAUUAACUAACCUCCGUUCCCUAAGGUCUGUGUCUUCACUCUGGACUGAGUAGCCAGACUCUCAGGCUGGGCUUUGGCCAUUGUUUAUGUCACAAGGAUGAGGUUUGUGGGUGUCGAAGGAAGACCCCAUUCAGAGCUAAUUUCUUGGUUCAGCUUUGCAAAUGCAGGGAGGGUGAUCAGAAAAGUCUGGGAGUGUUGGUGGACCCAUAGGCUUGUAAAGUGUUGGCCAUAUUAUGCCUCAAACCCUAAGCUCUUCAGUCAAGAUGGAAUUUGUGUCAUAGUCUCAGUGUGACAAUGCUGUUCAGUCAAUGUGAACAGCAAGCAGUGAAAAACAGACGCCAGACUACUAAAAUCCGUUACCUCUGGAGGAGAUGACAGGAGCAGGACAAGCAGAAACAAAGUUGCAAACGUUUUCAUGGGGCUCAUCCCUUCCCACUAGAAUGUAAGCUCUACACAGCAGAGAUUUCGGCCUCUUUGGUUUACUGAUAUGUCGCAGAGACGAGAAAAUUUCCUGCCACAUAGUAGCCCAUAAGAAGCUCAAAAGACAGGCACUUACCCAGGACAGAGCAACUGGCUUGGGGAUUUCCUGCACAGUCCUUGGAGAAGCGUCACUGUUGACUUCGGGUUUGCAAAGCAGCACUCUCUCCCUGGUUUCCAGAAC